AGACACUGCACGCCAAGCCGCUCUCUCCCCCUCCGAUUUUUUUCAGCCGAUGUUCUCUCUGAUAUUUCCAGCACGAACAGGUCUCCAAUCCUUAUCCCAGCCGAUGCAUGGACUGCAUCUACUACAGACCAUCAACGCACGUCUCUGCUCCUCCCUUCCUUUGCCGCACCUGCUCCCUCUUCUUCCUUUCCUUGGCGCUCGGUCACCAGUCCCUAGCUCGCUCGGCCUCUGCUCUUCUGCUGGCCGGUGCUCCCUCACCCAUCUUCUAUAGUCGCCUUGCUCUCUGAUGCUUUCCUGCUCGUCCGUCCGCAGCUCGGAUGUCGUGGUUCUCUGGUCGCCGGUGCCCAGCUCGCCAGCCAUCUUCUUGCCUUGUCGCCGCUGUUCUUCUCUAGUGCUCGCCUCAGCCCAAGCCGCGUCCAUGGCUAUCGAGCACACUAGCUGUCGUGGGGCUCGGCCUCAGCAUGGCGCUGGACGCCCGGACUUCAUCUCGGUCCUCUCGAGGUCGGACUGCGCCCCAUGCCGGCUUCGAUUGGAUGUAGCGCGUCGUCACUCAGCUCGCCCAAAUCCUGGCCAUGGUUCUCGUCGCGCCCUUUCCUACUUCCCCAUCCUCGCCAUAGAGGCUCAGUCGCUCGCCGUCACCCCAAGCGCCGCAUCGGACUCGUCCUGUGUGAUGUCCACCAAGUGCUCGACAAAAAACUCGAACGAGUCGUCAUGCCAUCGUCUUCGUCGAAUGGAAAUCGUCGUGCUAACACAUCGAUGUCGUCGAUCGCCAUCCUCAUCUACGCCAACAAGCCGUGAAGACGCUCUUGUGCUGGCCACGCGCCACCAGCUCGACAAAAUGAAUCCUAUGGGUAUCUGGUCAUGAACGAGGCCCCUGUGUAUCGCUCAUCAAGUGCUCGGUCGAAGACUUUAAUUGAAGGUCGUCAUCGUUCGUGUCAUGAUCGAGUCAAAUUGCAGUAUGGUACGUUAAUUAAUCGCGCGAUGCGGAAGACAAGCCAAGUCGACCCCAAGCGUGGACUACUUCGCAUGGUGAUGCUGAUGGACGAACCUGCCUGAUCAAGUGCUAAGACAAGGAUGAUCGUCAAGUGGACGUCAACUAACAAACACUAAUCUAGUGUUAUUCCAGGCAAGCCCCGGUGCAUGCAACCCCUUCCUUGUGUUUUUAAAUAAUUUUCGCACACUUUAAGUCUAGUGAAAUGUGCAUUAGGUUUAUAGGAGUUGCUUGGAACCCUUUGAUGCAUUGCUUUCCUUGAUAUCCAUACCUUUAUAGAUACUUUUGGUGAAGUAUCAAAAACAUGAUUUACAAAAAUGCUUAGCCCUGCUUAGAUCUUGUGGAUAGGGGUUGUCCUUAGCCUAGCUCGAGAAAGGAUGGCUUCUACCUGCAAGAAUAUUUUCAUUUGGAGCAAUGGUGGGAUCUUACUGCAAAGUUCCCUGUGAUGCUCUUUUCAUCCUAAGGAACAGAAACAAUCCUAAGGAUGGAAAUACUUAAAUUGAGACUUGGGUUAGGAACAGGUGAUGUUCUACCCAGGUUGAUUAAGGAUUGAAUGCGUAUGUAGGCGUGCUGAUCAAGGACCCUUUAACUGGUCACAUGCCUCGUCAUGGGUAAGCCUUGCCUCGGGCAGACUAAGGCCAGAAUAAGAUAACAUGAAAUGGGCGUGGAGCGGUGGCGAGAGUAGUGUGUACCCACCGUGGCAAGAGGCUGGACGUUGGUGUAUCUGUGCUCUCGGUUUGCGUGAACCUGAUCUGGUCUUAAGAACCCCGGUGGCGGGUUGACAUAUGCAAGGGUUAAGUGCUACAUAUGUCGUGUGAUUGGAGAUCCUCAGCUGAGUAUAAUCGAUUCGGAUCGCCGUACCUUCGCGGUUAUGAAGACUUGGUCACUUCCCUACAACCUAAGUCAGGAUGUGAACAUUAUGAAUAAAAAGGAUGUUGUAUUGAUGAGAUGAUGAAAUUAGACUAGAUGCAAACAGUGUCUAUUAAUAUUCAAUCUGGCGUUAAAAUAUUGAAAGUAAGUACUCACUUUAGUAAGCUAUUUCUGCAAAAGUAUCUAAGUUGAUUCUUGCUAAAGCCUCUCCUUGAUUCCUAUUUAUCCAGCAUACCCUUGAGAGUCUUUUCUUUAGUCGGGUAAGUCUUGCUGAGUAAUUUCAUACUCAGGGUUUUAUUCCCUGUUGUUUUUCAGGUUAUAGUUUUGUGCUGCUGUUGAUGGUGUUAAGUGCCGGUGGGCUCGGCCUUCUUAUAUAAGUAUAUUCCGUCUUUAUCUUCUUAUUGAGGAUGGUCACUUGAGCUAGCAUAUAUUUUAAAACUAUAAAUAAUUUAUAACAGUUCAAAGUUUCUUUCUUUGAAUCACUGUAGUAAUCACUCCGAUCAUGUACAUUAUAAAACUUGAUGUAACCUGUAAAAUUUGGUAAUAAGAUUUCCGCUGCAAAAAUGUUGUGUGUGUGAUUUGUGUUACUUAAUCCCGCGGUUCUGGUUGUUCGUGGUUUAUCCGAUGUCCUUGGGGCAAUCGGACGGAUCCUGUUAAGUUAUCUGGUGCACAUGCAUAGCAGUCUGAGGUCUUUGAGACAAGGACAGGUGCAUGUGGGCCCAAUAACUUGGGAGGUUCUGCCACACGAAACGCGCUAAGACCUCGAAGGAGUCAAACCACUCCUCCGAGGCCUCGGGGGCUACACCCGGCGGGUGCGCUCGCGCGCACCCACCAGAACGAAACGCAACCGAGAAAGGUCGGUCCCCUUGCAAAAAAGUGCGACAAAAGCCUCCAAGCGAGUAUCAACACUCCCUUCGAGGCUCGGGGGCUACUGUCGGGGACCAUAAUUAGGGGUACCCCAAGACUCCUAAUCUCAGCUGGUAACCCCCAUCAGCACAAAGCUGCAAAGGCCUAAUGGGUGCGAUUAAGGUCAAGGCUCAGUCCACUCAAGGGACACGAUCUCGCCUCGCCCGAGCCCAGCCUCGGGCAAAGGCAGCCGACCCCGGAGGAUUCACGUCUCGCCCGAGGGCCCCCUCAAGCAACGGACACACCUUCGGCUCGCCCGAGGCCCAGUCUUCGCAGAGAAGCAACCUUGGCCAGAUCGCCACGCCAACCGACCGUAUCGCAGGAGCAUUUAAUGCAAGGAUCGUCUGACACCUUAUCCUGAUACGCGCUCUUCAGUCGACAGAGCCGAAGUGACCGCAGUCACUUCGCCGCUCCACUGACUGACCUGACAAGAAAACAGCGCCGCCUGCGUCGCUCCGACUGCUGUGCCACUCGACAGAGUGAGGCUGACAGCAGCUAAGUCCAGCCUCGGGCGCCAUAGGAAACUCCGCCUCGCCCGACCCCAGGGCUCGGCCCCUGUCUCGUCCUCGGAAGAUGGGCUUUGCCUCGCCCGACCCUAGGGCUCGGACUCAACCACGACUCAGCCUCGGCUCUAGAAGACGACGGACUCCGCCUCGCCCGACCACAGGGCUCGGACUCAGCCUCGGCUCCGGAAGACGACGAACUCUGCCUCGCCCGACCCUAGGGCUCGGACUCAGCCUCGGCUCCGGAAGACGAUGGACUCCGCCUCGCCCGACCCCAGGGCUCGGACUCAACCUCGACCUCGGAGGAGCCUCUGCCUCGCCCGACCGAGGGCUCGGACCAACCACGUCACAGGGGGGGGGCAUCAUUACCCUACCCCUAGCUAGCUCAGGCUAUGGGGAACAAGACCGGCGUCCCAUCUGGCUCGCCCCGGUAAACAAAUAAUGAUGGUGCCCCGCGUGCUCCAUGACGACGGCGGCUCUUAGCCCCUUACGGAAGCAAGGAGACGUCAGCAAGGAUUCGACAGCCCCGACAACUGUCCUUCCGCAGGGCUCCAGCUCUCCUCCGACGGCCACGACAUCACAUGAACAGGGUGCCAAAACCUCUCUGACUGCCACGACGGCAUGUACUUAGGGCCCUAGCUCCUCUCUGCUAGACACGUUAGCACACUGCUACACCCCCCAUUGUACACCUGGACCCUCUCCUUACGCCUAUAAAAGGAAGGUCCAGGGCUCUCGUACGAGAAGGUUGGCCGCGCGGGAGAACGGGCCGACGCAUAAGGCUCUCGCCCUCUCUCUCUCUCUCUCUCCCACGCGAACGCUUGUAACCCCCUACUGCAAGCGCACCCUACCUGGACGUAGGGCAACACGAAGGCCGCGGGUUUCCCCUUUGCCUGUUUCUUCCCCCCCUUCGUGCUCCAUCUCGCGCCGACCCAUCUGGGCUAGGACACGCGGCGACAAUUUACUCAUCGGUCCAGGGACCCCCCGGGGUCGAAACGCUGACAGAAGGAUUAGUUUAUCUGAUUCUUUGUGUACUCCACCUAGAAGGAAGUUCAAGUGGCUACAAUAAGAAAACAUGGAUCAGACAACUUGAACCAAUCACCCAAGACGUUGUCCUACAGCCCAAUCGAGAAUGUUGUCUUGUUUUGCUCUGAUGCUGAUGAGGGUCCAUAUGAUCUCUACAUUGCUCCCAAGGAUUCUGUUGGUAGGCCACGUUACUUGCAAGAGGCAAAGAAUGGAGCUAGUGGUUCUGUUGUAUUUGUGGCAUGCAACAGGUUUGCAGUCCUUGAGAGGUGUGCAUCCAGGAAGACAUGAAAUGCACCAUGCCCUUAGUUAAUUCAAUUCUAUAUUCCACGAUUGUAACAUUUUUUAAAAUAUAAUCAAACCCUCUUUGUCUGGGGUACCCUAAUAUCUCUACUACCUAUUAAGAGCCUAAGGAACAUUAAAGGAUUGAAUGCCCAAGAGGGGGUUGAAUUGGGCUAAUUUAAAACUCUAAAUAUCCUUAAGUCAUGCUCAGCAUUGCGUGCAUAUGGUCGUGCAAAACAGUUGUUUUACAUUAUAGACUGUAUUGUUUAAAGAGUGUAGUUUUAAAUAGGGAGUGGGAUAGGAAGGCUGCUAGAGACAGCCUUAGUGCAAUGGUCCACAGUUUCAAAACAGGGAUUAUAGGUUUAUGUUCUAUUAAUAAUUUGUUCUAGCUACUAUCCUUCAAUUUCUUCCCUCAUGGUUCUUAAGGCAUGUAUUGCUCCAAAAAAGACACUCAAUUGCUCAAAUAUAGUUGCAAAUCGAAGCCAAAAACUCCCUUCAAAAUACCAAAGGUAAGUUAUCUGCAUCUAAUUCUCUUAACUAAUGAUGAUGUCUCAAGUGCUUUAUAGUAGGUUCAUGUGCAUCUUUUAGUUUUCUAUAGGUAAAUCUUAGACUUCUAUUGUUCAUGGCACCACACAAUUGACCCCAAAAUUGACACUACUGAGAGUUUUUGAGUAAUAAUAAUAAAUUCCUUUUCUUCUACUAUAUAGGAUGAAUCCAUUCUUAUUUUGGUUUUAGAUAACAAAGAAAAACUUCGAAAUUAGUUUCAGUGUAAUAUGCUAGAUCAUUGACAUGAAUUUUUAGUUCCAAAAUAGUUGAGAUAAGGAUUAAUAUGUAGAAGAGAAGAGAGAGGCAUGGAUUCAAGGUCCAGCCAUGGCACGCUCAACAUGGCUAAUUUUUUAUUUUCAAUGCCUUCCCCACGCCCGCCAUGCCACAAAUCAGAAAACUAUUCAAGGGUUUGAAAAGGUGACCAUAACUGCUAAUUAUUUGUCUAAACUAAAGAAGAAUUCAAAAUUAUUUAGAAAUAAUAAUACAAGGAAAUAAAAAGACUGGGUGUGCAUGCAAAUUAAAGAAACAAGGUUUCUGUCUUCCUAGGCCCUAGAUGAUUUCAGUAGAAAUAAAUUACGCAAAGCACCUUAAUGAAGGGAAGUCAACAAUAUCUGGCCUUUGCUUUAGUUUUAAGUCGACAUAUUUUUCGUGAAUACUAAUGCAAUCCUCCCCUCUAUCCAUAAUGAUUCUUUUUUUUCAAAGAAUCAAAGUUACUCCCAUUCAGAAGCAUACUCCUAUAGUCCUACUUUGGAAAUUGGGACAACAUAGGUUCUAGAUUUCUAACUGAACUGCAAUCUCAACAUUUCUUCACUUCAGUUCACUUAUAUUUCAGUACAGAUCAGAUGGCAGGCUAAUGUUUAUGAUCAAGGGUGUCUGGGUAACUUUUAAGGAGUAGUUUGUGCCAAGAUAGAACCUUCUAAACAUAAGUUCUAGGCGCACAUACAAGAGAAAGUGUGAGCUGCACCAGCUAACCGUGCUGGAGAGGCUGAAGAAGAAUGAGUUGGUGGUCCUCGAGCAAAAGUGGGGGAUGGCCUUGAUACUGAUGGUGAUCUGAUGAAGAUUUCACAUAGGCACAACCAUGAGGAAAUCGAUGUCGAAAUUGGAUGUGGGGAUGCUAAUGAGGUGGAAUGCUUAAUUUCAUACUCCAAAGUUAAAGACAAUACAUAUGCACAUAUGUAGAGUAGAGUUAGAAACAAGGUAAACAGAGAACACGAGUUGGGUUCAAAAGGCAUCAUAAUUCAGGUUAUACCACAAGAAAUCAUUAUAACAAGUGUCUUGGCCUCUGAACCAACACCAGAGUUGGAUGCCUGUUCAAUUACUCGACCGCUUCCAGUAGAGAUGGCCAUUUUCCAGCGGUUUAAUGAAUGUGUGUUUGUUUUGUUGAUAAGUGGGCAAAUGUUGUCUCCUCAGGUGGUUCCAACAUUAUUCUUUUUGUAAAUUGCUAAUGUAGGAUACUUAUGAUGCUACUUGUAGGUUCUCUUGUGCAUUUCGACCAGUGUUUGUGUUGAAUUCUUAUCCUUGAAUCCUUCUGAAGUUUUUGUGUAACAUGUGUAGUGUCUUAGUUAAGAAAUUCCAAGAUGAUGUAUGAAUUCAGAUUGCAUUAUUGAUAGUUCUAAACUUGUGGUCUUUGAGUUCCACAUAUGCACAAGUCGUUUCCUUU